CAUAAAACAUCCGGAAGCUGUCAGUGUGGUGGUGACCAAAGAACUGCCCCGCGAUGACAUGAUGGUGCUUCCGGACCACCUUCAAGCUGUUGUGUGGAUGGAAAAAGCUGCCUCCUGGUACCAGGCUGAUGAAGGACCCCUCUGUGAUGGGGGCAUCUUGAGUGGUUGGGUUGGUGUUGAGGACCACGACUCGCCCAGCCCCACUCAGUCCAGGCAGCUUCUCGGCAUAGAAGGC